CAUCAUAUUCCUACAUUACUAUUGAGUAAUUCUAUAGGAUUAUAGAAAAUUUUAUGUUAAAACUAGUAACAAGAAGAAGACCCUUCUCUUUAAUGUAAGUGUACAUCAGAAAGGACAAACCACUGAUAUUUAACAUUUCUGAGCUUGAAAUAGAAACCGACCAAGAAAACCCUACUUUCACCCAUGUUAACCUAACACCAGAACAUUUUAAGAAAGAUUAAAAGAAAAAGAAGGAACUCGGCAAAUAUUAACCUCGCCUGUUUACCAAAAACAUCGCCUCUUGAGUACAUAUAAGAGGUCCAGCCUGCCCAGUGACCAUGUUCAACGGCCGCGGUAUCCUAACCGUGCGAAGGUAGCGUAAUCACUUGUUCUUUAAAUGAGGACUAGUAUGAAUGGCACCACGAAGGUUAUACUGUCUCCUUUUUCCAAUCAGUGAAUCUAAUCUUCCCGUGAAGAAGCGGGAAUAAAAAUAUAAGACGAGAAGACCCUAUGGAGCUUAAAACAACACAGCACCUGCUAUAAAACACAAAAAUUUCAGAAUCCCUAAUUAUCCUGACAGCAUGACUGUAAGUUUUUGGUUGGGGUGACCACGGAGCAUAAUAUAACCUCCACGUUGAAAGAAUUUUAUUCUAAGCUAAAAAUUACACUUUUAAGCAUCAAUAAAUUGACAUCUAUUGACCCAAUACACUUGAACAACGAACCAAGUUACCCUAGGGAUAACAGCGCAAUCCACUUCAAGAGCUCCUAUCGACAAGUGGGUUUACGACCUCGAUGUUGGAUCAGGGUUUCCCAGUGGUGCAGCCGC
rnacentral:rRNA from 1 species